GAAAGCAAGCAUUCACACAGACGCAUCGACUGUGCGUGUUGGUCAUUUUCAUCCGUCCUCGCCUUUUCUCUUGUGAGGGGUUUCUGUGGUUGUGUGAGGGUCAUUGCCGUCGCGCUGCCGUAGUUUAUUCACGGCGUUCUCUAGGCUGCCACGGCUGUGCUCUGGCCGACGUGCACAAGGCCGUUGGAUGCGUUGCGCCGCUCGCGUUUUUCUUUUGCUCAAGUGCCGAGGUGCUUUCGUGCCGUCACGAAUUUUUGCACGAGCGCCUCAUCUCAGGCCGCGCGUGCCAUUGCCGGCGUUCUUUGUACAUUUCAGCUCCUGGGGCACUGCUUCUGUGUCCACCAUUGGCGCAGGCUCCAGUGCGUCUGAGAGCCCGAACACCAGAUAUACGGACACACACACAGGCACGCAAACACGCUUCGGCGUGGCGGGUGUGAGGAGGUAGACAAUGAUGCGAUGGGCCGUCGACGUGACGGGCAUCGAUGUCGCCGAGGACUUGGAGCGAGAGCAGAGAAAGUGUGUCUACAAGGUCCCACGCGCUGCUAAUGGCGAAUCGUGGCACGCGGUGGAUGAUUGGCGACCCAACGCGAGUGAAUACAGCGACGAGCUAGGUAAAGUCUGGGCAUUGACCCGGGACGAGGUGCAGGAUGCGAUUGCGGAGCGGGCGCUGACGGCCAACGCCCUCUUUCGUAAUGUUGGGCGGACCUUAGCAGGCGCACUGCAGCGCCAAGGAUCCAUCGCCAUUGCAGCCGGCUGCGCAUCCCAACUGCGCGGCGGUUGCGGUCGAGGGCUGCAGUGGGACGGGCUGCUGAGCAAUACCCAGAGCAUGGCCUCGAAUGACUUUGCCUGCGACGCCGUUCCUUCCACGCGCGAAGUGCGCGUAUUCAGCACGUUUCUCAACGCUGAGGGCAAGCGCACGACUGUGACCGUGAAUAUGACGCAGCCGACCUACCGCGGUGUCGACGUCGUGGCAGCGUUCUUGCAGCAGGCCGUGGCGACCAAUGAAUCGCUCUCGCAGCGCUACUCGACGAACCCGCGCCUGUACAAGCUGUUCAUCGCUGACGAGGACACGGGUGAGGAAGAGAUGGCGGCGCAGCUGGACCUCGGUGCGCAGAAUUUUUCGUGCUACGCCGUUAACCCGAUGCCGGCGGCGAAGCUGUUUCUCUUUCCGCAGCGCACAGCCCUGCUGAAUACGACAACGCGCGACGUCAACUUGACCGUGCAGGUGCGCCCAUUAGAUCCGCAGGCAAAGGCAGUGCAGCGACAGUGCGUCGUGCCGGCCGACAUGCUCUCCGAGUCGUUGGAGGCUACCAUCUGUAGCCGUCUGCCAGCCAGCGGGAUCAUUCAAGGGUCUCUGCGUAUCAUGCAUGGGCCGAUGGAACUGAACAUUAACGAGUACUACAAUUUCGGCGCCGGCUGCGGUCAGCCAAACUGCCCCAUCGCCGAGCGCACCGUUUUGUCCCUUUUCCGGUUCGGCGUUCGGGAAGUCGUGGUAAACGGGCGUGCCGUCGAGGAAGCCCCGACAGAGGUUCUGCGCGACUUGACAGAGGACAUCAUCAUUGACAUGGGCGUUGAUGAGGCAGUAUCCUUCCAGCAGUUCGAGGUGAUUUGCAUCAACAAGUACGGCGCACGACAGCAGCGGCUGCUCUGUGUGGAUGGCGAGCACCUGUACACAAUGCGCCCGAACGCGUCGGAGGCGCUGCCCAAGACGACGGAGCGGACGAUCAAGGACAUCGAGGAAGUGCGCAUCUUCGCCGACAAACCCAAGUACAUGGAGAUCGCCUAUACGAAGAGCUCCCACUUUGAGGAGGACCACUUCGAGUGCACGACGACGUACAACUGUGCGCUUCUAAAUGAGAAGAUCCGCAUCGUGCGCCGCGAACUGCGCAAGCGCGAGGCAGAGGAGCAGGCGGCGAGUGUCAAGAACGAGACGGCCAUGCAGCGCUUCAUGACAGGGAUUCGCAGUAGGUGGUUUGGUGGGGCGUGACAGAGGUAGACCUGCCGCCCUCCCAGGGUCGCCUGUCUCACACGCACGGCUGUCCAGUUUGUACGUGUUCGUUUGCGGGCGUGGGCUCUUGUCUAUGGAGCCGCAAGCUCCUCGUAGCCACCUCCCUUUCCCUCUUCCUUCCGCGUUCUCAGCGCCCAUGUGCACAAGCACGUGUGUUGGUUCUCUUGCUGAGGCACGUGCCGUUCCGCUGCGGCGUGCGCGUAUGCAGGUGCGUUCAAUUACAACGGUACAUACCUCUUUUCGUGCUCCUGCCUCUCUCCAUUCUUUUGUUUUCUUCACUGUUUCCUUGUUUCCGUCUCACGGUUGAGCUGCUCAGAUGACGUCGGAGGAGGGGGGCACGCGCACCCCUCCGCGCGUGGCAUCUCCGGGUCCGGUGUGUCCAGCUCGGUCUGGGUGGACGCCGAGCAGCCCCCUCUCCCCGCCCCCAUCCCGGCCGAAUGCCGAGCCACUUCUGGCGGUGCGCGUGCCAAGCGCCUACGACGUGGGCGAGUGAGAGCGAGUCGUCGCUGCGGAUGUCGGCGGGCGGGUCCCGGACGGCGUGGCGCCGGGGCGAGCGGCGGCAGUGAACGCGUUUGUGGUUCUCAUCGGAUAGGCAAAAAGUGUCCGGGCGACUCAAGCGUAUGCCACACCCGACCCUCGCACCGCCUGCUGGUGUGGGGCGCCUGAGAGCCACCCCCCGGAGAGAAGGAGGGGAUGCACCAGCGAUGACGACGUGCCUGAUGGGGGAGCGGCUGUGAGGCACCGUACGAGGUGCUGGGUGGGUAGAGCGGUGUUGGCCCUGACGCUGUAUGACCGAGAAAUGGGGGCGCGCGGACACGAAGCGAACCCGAAGAAAAGAAAAGAAGCCCCCUGCCUUUCUGCGUGUGUGUGUCUGUGAGGCAUCUCUCUAUCCCCCCUCUCGUGUGUGUGUGUGUGUGCUUAUGGCGUUUUCGGCCUUCUGUGUUUCUUUGGUUGUUGUGUGGAUGUAUGCCACGUCACUGCUCUCUCUGUGCUACCGCAUCUUUUCGGUUUCUCUUUGUCUGCUGUCUCCUCCUCUUCCUCCCCGUGUGGGUGCCUUGUGUCGCCAUAUGGAGGAGCGACACGCACGCGCGCACACACACACACACACACGCACGAUCCUACGAAGGUGUUGUCUGGAGGGGCCUAGGGAUGACCCUCGCAUGUUUUUUUUUCUUUGCGUGCGUCUUUGCGCUAUUCUUCAUGUCGAGCUUGCGCUGCACUGCACUUGCAUAUUCAUGUAAGAGCGCAUGCACCCCCACAGGCCCAUCUUCCACCCUCAGCCCGUAGCCUCCUCCAUCCUUCACAUCACUCUCACACUCUUCUCUUUGUACAG
rnacentral:misc_RNA from 1 species